rnacentral:rRNA from 1 species
UACGAAGGGAGCUAGCGUCGUUCGGAGUUACUGGGCGUAAAGAGUGUGUAGGCGGUUCGCUAAGUCUGGUGUGAAAUCUCCUGGCUUAACUGGGAGGGUGCGCCGGAAACUGGCGGGCUAGAGUGUGGGAGAGGGAAGCGGAAUUCCUGGUGUAGCGGUGAAAUGCGUAGAUAUCAGGAGGAACACCGGUGGUGUAGACGGCUUCCUGGACCACAACUGACGCUGAGACACGAAAGCGUGGGGAGCAAACAGG